rnacentral:tRNA from 1 species
AAUGAAUUGGCCAAGUGGUUAAGGUGCCUGACUGCUACCUGUUGUGCUCUGUACGUGUGGGUUUGAAUCCCAUUCUUGUUG